GUUCUUUGAAGGAGUAGGGUGAAGGAGGGGUUGUCCUGAACAGUAGCCAUGGUGCAAAGUGUGUCAAUGAGUACUCUUGCAACUUCUAGAUAUUGCGGAUUUUGUGGAUCCACCUGUUUGAGGAGGCAGUUUGGACAAAUAAAAGAAACCACGAUAGGUUUUGGGGAAAGUCAAUUUGUUUGGAAUGAUCGUCGGAAAAACUUAUCCUUUGCAACCAACAUUGAUAUGCUAAAGCCAAGAAAUUUGAGGGUUCAAGCUGGAUGGUUGUUUAAAGGAGGUGACAAAAGCUCAGAAGCAAGCAUUGAGCGUAGCGAGAAUGCCAAUGAAGAUAUAUUGAUGUUCUUUUUUCAGCUUGACCUGGCUACACGCGUGCAGUAUGCUUUGAAUGUGGAGCAGUAUGAAAUUGCACAACAACUAAGAGAGAAGCUCACUGAGGUGGAAACAGAGGUUUUGAAGCAGCAGGAAUCCAGAAGGGGAUCAGCCUCAAAGAGUGAAGCUCAAGAUAUGGCUAUAAGCAUCUUGCGUCUACGUGCAGACCUGCAGAAUGCAGUUCAGAGUGAAAAUUAUGAUUUGGCAGCUAAAUUACGAGAUGAAAUUUCCGAGCUUGAGGCAGAGUCUCUGACUACAUCGAUAAGAGCUCAGGCAUAUGAAAAUGCUCAAUAUGCAUUUCGAUUAGGCCAGAAAGUGAAGCACAAGAAUUUUGGAUAUCGUGGUGUUAUAUGUGG
rnacentral:misc_RNA from 1 species